rnacentral:pre_miRNA from 1 species
GGGAGGAGCACCGGAUCCUGGGCUGUGUCCCCCCGCGCCCUGGGCUCCGGGGCCUGUGCCGCUGGAAUGGCGCUCCCAGGCCACGCAGCCCCCU